AGUUUGGGAAGAAGCAUAUUGAAGUGUUCACUGACCUCAGCAGCCCAUUCAGCCAAGACCAACUGGACAUUAUAAUUUGUAACCUGAAGAAGUCCAGCAUCUCCCUGCAGUUCUUUCUGCCUUUUCCAAUCGACAAGAAUGGUGAGCCUGGGGAGACAGAAGACCACGACUCCAGCUUCGACCACUGUGCACCCUCCUUCCCUCAAAAAGGACUUACUGAGCAGCAAAAGGAAGGCAUCCACAUGGUGACGAGGGUGAUGCUGUCUUUAGAAGGCAAAGAUGGUCUGGAUGAAAUUUAUUCCUUCAGGUAGGAGGUGAAGAUGUGACUCUCGGUCUUCCCACAUGGAUCUCCCUCGUCAGAUGUCUCCUUAACACUGUCUUUCUCUGAGCUGUUCUUGACUUUGCAGUCAUUCUUUAAUAAGUGUUCCGACUUUUAUUAAAGAAGUCUCGAGCUCACCCCU
rnacentral:lncRNA from 1 species